AGAGAGAGACAUGCGCGCAUAUCAAUAAGCGGAGGAAAAGAAACUAACAAGGAUUCCCCUAGUAACGGCGAGUGAAGCGGGAAGAGCUCAAAUUUGAAAUCUUAAAGGGUUUCCCUUUACGAAUUGUAGUUUAAAGAAGUGUUUUCUGUUGAGGUUUUGGUAAAAGUUCUUUGGAAUAGGACAUCAUAGAAGGUGAGAAUCCCGUAUUUGACCUUUACUUUCAACUUUGUGAUACACUUUCAAAGAGUCGGAUUGUUUGGGAAUGCAGUCCAAAAUGGGUGGUAAAUUUCAUCUAAAGCUAAAUAUUGGCGAGAGACCGAUAGCGAACAAGUACCGUGAGGGAAAGAUGAAAAGAACUUUGAAAAGAGAGUUAAACAGUACGUGAAAUUGUCAAAAGGGAAGCGUUUGACACCAGUGUUGUUUUUCUGAAAAUCAAUUAAAGAACUGUUUAUGCUAAGUUGUUUAGACUUUAUCAGCUAACUGUUUAGUUUUGAGCUUUUCUUUAAUGCACUUUUCAGUUAACAAGUCAACAUCAAUUUCUUUUGCUGUAAAAAAGCUUGAGGAAGGUGGCUUGAGAUUCGUCUUAAGUGUUUAUAGCCUCUUGCCUAUGCAGUCGGAGAGAUUGAGGUCUGCAGCGUAGAUCCUUCGGGGCUAAAUGCAUUUGUGCUAAGUUAUAGCAUUUUAUAGACAACUAGUUGACUAUGAUUUGUCUUGUAGCUUACUCGCUUAUGUUAUUUUACCUACGCUUAGGAUGUUGAGCGCAUGUCUCUCUCU
rnacentral:rRNA from 1 species